rnacentral:rRNA from 1 species
UUAUGGCUCAGGAUGAACGCUAGCGACAGGCUUAACACAUGCAAGUCGAGGGGCAGCAUAGAAGUAGCAAUACUUGGUGGCGACCGGCGCACGGGUGAGUAACGCGUAUGCAACCUACCUAUCAGAGGGGAAUAACCCGGCGAAAGUCGGACUAAUACCGCAUAAAACAGGGGCACCGCAUGGUGAUAUUUGUUAAAGAAAUUCGCUGAUAGAUGGGCAUGCGUUCCAUUAGGUAGUUGGUGAGGUAACGACUCACCAAGCCGACGAUGGAUAGGGGAACUGAGAGGUUGGUCCCCCACACUGGUACUGAGACACGGACCAGACUCCUACGGGAGGCAGCAGUGAGGAAUAUUGGUCAAUGGGCGGGAGCCUGAACCAGCCAAGUCGCGUGAAGGAAGAAGGAUCUAUGGUUCGUAAACUUCUUUUGCAGGGGAAUAAAGUGCAGGACGUGUCCUGUUUUGUAUGUACCCUGAGAAUAAGGAUCGGCUAACUCCGUGCCAGCCGCCGC